GCCGAGCUUAGUAACGCAAGCUUGUCACCUAAGUUGGGGCAUUAUGAUGAUGGAACACGGGUUCUAUCGAGUGUGUCGGAUCCACUGUUGGUAUAAUUCGGGCCUGCCCGCUCCAAGCCAAGAGUUGUGCCGUGGGACCUGAGUGAAGACUCUGGGUCUCGUGGUUCCUAAAGUGGUGGGUACUGCGUGAGGCUGGUUUCACAGAGCAGCGAAGACCACCCGCUCUUAGCAGUGGAAGGAUAACAGGCCUGCGCCACAUGGAUCCAAUAUGGCUCAUUGGGUUGGCCCUGACUGGACCAUCAUCUUU
rnacentral:SRP_RNA from 2 species